UACAGGGGGUGCAAACGUUGCUCGGAAUCAUUGGGCGUAAAGCGCACGUAGGCGGUUCGUUAUGUCGGAUGUGAAAGCCCUUGGCUUAACCAAGGAAGUGCAUCCGAAACUGCAGAGCUUGAGUACUUAAGAGGAUCGCGGAAUUCCCGGUGUAGAGGUGAAAUUCGUAGAUAUCGGGAGGAACACCAGUGGCAAGGACGGCGAUCUGGGAAGGAUACUGACGCUGAGGUGCGAAAGCGUGGGGAGCAAACAGG
rnacentral:rRNA from 1 species